UACGUAGGGGGCAAGCGUUGUCCGGAUUUACUGGGCGUAAAGAGCGUGUAGGCGGCCAAGCAGGUCCGUUGUGAAAACUGGAGGCUUAACCUCCAGACGUCGACGGAAACCGCGUGGCUAGAGUCCGGAAGAGGAGAGUGGAAUUCCUGGUGUAGCGGUGAAAUGCGCAGAUAUCAGGAAGAACACCAAUGGCGAAGGCAGCUCGCUGGGACGUUACUGACACUAAGGCGCGAAAGCGUGGGGAGCGAACAGG
rnacentral:rRNA from 1 species